rnacentral:rRNA from 1 species
UACGUAGGGUGCGAGCGUUAAUCGGAAUUACUGGGCGUAAAGCGUGCGUAGGCGGUUCGUUAAGUUCGUUGUGAAAGCCCCGGGCUCAACCUGGGAAUGGCAAUGGAAACUGGCGGGCUGGAGUAUGGCAGAGGGGGGUGGAAUUCCGCGUGUAGCAGUGAAAUGCGUAGAGAUGCGGAGGAACACCGAUGGCGAAGGCAGCCCCCUGGGCCAACACUGACGCUCAUGCACGAAAGCGUGGGGAGCAAACAGG